GGGCCUGUGGUAUACCGGUAACACAUCUCCAUGGCAUGGAGAAGUAGGGGGUUCGAUUCCCCCCAGGUCCA
rnacentral:tRNA from 1 species